GUUUUGCUCUCACGCGCUCCCGUCAUCACCAGUUGAGCACAACUGAAUUGUCGAUAAAUUAACAUGUACACCUCCUGAAGUGAAUAAAUCUAUGUGAGUAUUAUCCGCUUUUCGAGUUCAGCCAUGCAUAAAGAUGCCAGGCGGAAAGGUGUGAUCUACUUUCGAUCGCUGUACGUGUGCCGCCGUUCACACCUGAGGACAGGACACGGCUACGUGACGGCUGGUGUUCUGCCCCAACGCAACGCCUUCUGCAAGAGGCAAGAUGCGUCAGUAUUUUGUUUCGAAAACAUUCCCAGACAUAGUUAGUUUAUACACAAUAGGCACAGUG